CAUAUACUCACUCCGUCCCAUAUUAACUGCUGAAAUAUUACAUGUAUCUAGACGCUUGUUAAGUAUAGAUACAUUCAUAUUUAGUCAAAUUUGAGUCACUUAAUAUGGGACGGAGGGAGUAUGAU
rfam:Brachypodium distachyon strain Bd21 chromosome 1, whole genome shotgun sequence.